rnacentral:snRNA from 1 species
GUGAUCACUUCUGCUGCACAUAUACAUAACAUUUAGCAAUACAGAAAAAAUUAGAAUGGCCCCUGUGCAAGGAUGACACACAAGUUUGUGAAGUGUUCCAUGUUUUU